AAAGGCUCUCGUAGUGACCUGCGGAGGGACAUUACACAAAUAUGAAGGCGGGCUGGAACCUCUCGGGGUUACAGCCUUGCUGAAUUAUUCACCCUUGUCUUUUGCGUACUUCUUGUUUCCUUGGUGGGUUCGCCCACCACUAGGACAAACAUAAACCUUUUGUAAUUGCAAUCAGCGUCAGUAACAAAUUAAUAAUUACAACUUUCAACAACGGAUCUCUUGGUUCUGGCAUCGAUGAAGAACGCAGCGAAAUGCGAUAAGUAGUGUGAAUUGCAGAAUUCAGUGAAUCAUCGAAUCUUUGAACGCACAUUGCGCCCUUUGGUAUUCCAAAGGGCAUGCCUGUUCGAGCGUCAUUUGUACCCUCAAGCUUUGCUUGGUGUUGGGCGUCUUGUCUCUAGCUUUGCUGGAGACUCGCCUUAAAGUAAUUGGCAGCCGGCCUACUGGUUUCGGAGCGCAGCACAAGUCGCACUCUCUAUCAGCAAAGGUCUAGCAUCCAUUAAGCCUUUUUUUCAACUUUUGACCUCGGAUCAGGUAGGGAUACCCGCUGAACUUAA
rnacentral:rRNA from 1 species